rnacentral:sRNA from 1 species
CUUCCUCGAUCUGCUGCGGGCAGAUGAAAUGGAUGUGGGCGUCGAUGCCGCCGGCAGUCAGAAUCUGGCCUUCGCCGGCGAUGACUUCGGUGCCGGGGCCGACGAUGAUGUCCACGCCGGGCUGCACGUCCGGGUUGCCGGCCUUGCCGAUCUUGAAGAUGCGGCCGUCCUUGAUGCCAACGUCGGCCUUGACGAUGCCCCAGUAGUCGAUGAUCAGCGCAUUGGUAAUCACCAAAUCCACGGCGCGGUCGUUGCCGAGUUGGCUUUGGCCCAUGCCGUCGCGGAU